rnacentral:rRNA from 1 species
UUCCAGACUCCUACGGGAGGCAGCAGUGGGGAAUAUUGCACAAUGGGGGAAACCCUGAUGCAGCGACGCCGCGUGAGUGAAGAAGUCUUUCGGUAUGUAGAGCUCUAUCAGCAGGGAAGAAAUAGCGACCUUUGGGUCGCCAGACGGUACCUGAUUAAGAAGCCCCGGCUAACUACGUGCCAGCAGCCGCGGUAAUACGUAGGGAGCAAGCGUUAUCCGGAUUUACUGGGUGUAAAGGGCGUGUAGGCGGGCAUGCAAGCCAGAAGUGAAAUCUGGGGGCUUAACCCCCAAACUGCUUUUGGAACUGCGUGUCUUGAGUGAUGGAGAGGCAGGCGGAAUUCCCAGUGUAGCGGUGAAAUGCGUAGAUAUUGGGAGGAACACCGGUGGCGAAGGCGGCCUGCUGGACAUUAACUGACGCUGAGGCACGAAAGCGUGGGUAGCAAACAGGAUUAGAUACCCCCGUAA